rnacentral:tRNA from 1 species
GGAGAGGUGCAAGAGUGGUUGAAUUGGCACGCCUGGAACGCGUGUGUGGGGUCAAACUCACCCAGGGUUCGAAUCCCUGUCUCUCCGCCA